GAUGAACGCUGGCGGCGUGCCUAAUACAUGCAAGUCGAGCGAACAGAUAAGGAGCUUGCUCCUUUGACGUUAGCGGCGGACGGGUGAGUAACACGUGGGUAACCUACCUAUAAGACUGGAAUAACUCCGGGAAACCGGGGCUAAUGCCGGAUAACAUUUAGAACCGCAUGGUUCUAAAGUGAAAGAUGGUUUUGCUAUCACUUAUAGAUGGACCCGCGCCGUAUUAGCUAGUUGGUAAGGUAACGGCUUACCAAGGCAACGAUACGUAGCCGACCUGAGAGGGUGAUCGGCCACACUGGAACUGAGACACGGUCCAGACUCCUACGGGAGGCAGCAGUAGGGAAUCUUCCGCAAUGGGCGAAAGCCUGACGGAGCAACGCCGCGUGAGUGAUGAAGGGCUUCGGAUCGUAAAACUCUGUUAUUAGGGAAGAACAAAUGUGUAAGUAACUGUGCACGUCUUGACGGUACCUAAGCAGAAAGCCACGGCUAACUACGU
rnacentral:rRNA from 1 species